GACAGAGGGUGCAAACGUUGUUCGGAAUUACUGGGCGUAAAGAGCUCGUAGGCGGCUCGUCGCGUCGACCGUGAAAACCCGCGGCUUAACUGCGGGCUUGCGGUUGAUACGGGCGGGCUAGAGUUCGGUAGGGGAGACUGGAAUUCCUGGUGUAGCGGUGAAAUGCGCAGAUAUCAGGAAGAACACCCGUGGCGAAGGCGGCUCUCUGGGACGGUACUGACGCUGAGACGCGAAAGCGUGGGGAGCGAACAGG
rnacentral:rRNA from 1 species